GGAAGGAUCAUUAACACGUUCCACGUAUCAACCCGAGCACUCGUUUUUACUCUGAUUAAGCUCCAGUUUAGCACCCUACAAACCUCGCAUUUCAGUCCGCAAACGAUAAGGAAACAGACUGAUCAAGUCUGGCGGCUGGCGAUUUGGUAUAGUCUCCUCUGCAAUUAAUAUUAAUUGCAGAGGAGAAAGGGCUCUGGAUGUCUGGUCAUGCCUUCUAUUCCUUGUCGAUCUUUCACAUCAUUUACCCCAUUCCAAAACGUACUAAUUUAUAUUUCUUUCUUAAGAAAUUGGAACACUUUCUGCUGCUUUACCGCAGUCGGGAGCGCUCUAACCAACUAAGAAAAACCUUAAGAACAACUCUUAACAACGGAUAUCUUGGCUCUCGCAUCGAUGAAGAACGCAGCGAAAUGCGAUACGUAAUGCGAAUUGCAGAAUUCAGUGAAUCAUCAAAUCUUUGAACGCAACUUGCGCUCUUGGGUAGCCCUGAGAGCAUGCCUCUCUGAGUAUCGAUUCUAACCCCACUCGUCUGCGUAGUCCUUUACAGGAUUAUGCAGUACGGAUACUGAGUGUCUCGACCUGUCAAAAGGUUGCGUCACUUGAAAUGGUUCGAGCCUGCCUUUGUGUGCCUCUUCUCUUCUGGUUGAGAAGCUUUAACGCUUCACAGCCUCGAGUUGAUGUUUGAUAAUUCGGCUUUACUGCUGAUCACUCACAUCCUGACUUCGAGGUUGGAAAUCAGUUUUACCGAGGAUUGUGCAACUAUCACGAAGUGGCUUCCAAACAAGGACCCCGUCAAAUCAUUUUUGAAUUUUGAUCUCAGAUGAAGUAAGAUUACCCGCCGAAUUUAAGCAUAUUAUUAAGCGGAGGAAAAGAAACUAACAAGGAUUCCCCUAGUAACGGCGAGUGAAGCGGGAUGAGCUCAACCUGAAAAUCGGUUUGCCUAGCGGCAUUUCGAAUUGUGGGCUAGAGACGCGAUCUCAGUUGUGACCCGGGCCUAAAUCUCUUUGAAAGAAGGUAUCGUAGAGGGUGAGAAUCCCGUCUUCGACCCGGAGUUCGCAGCGUACGAGUCGUGUUCAACGAGUCGAAUAGCUUGGGAAUGCUGUUCAAAAUGGGUGGUAAAUUUCAUCUAAAGCUAAAUAUAGGCGAGAGACCGAUAGCGAACAAGUACCGUGAGGGAAAGAUGAAAAGAACUUUGAAAAGAGAGUUAAAAAGUACUUGAAAUUGUUAAGAGGGAAGCACUGGAAACCAGUUGUGCCUAUGUGAAUUCUCUCCAUCUGCAGGGUUGCUGAUCGAUCGGAGUGACCUUAAAAGCGCUCCGGUUGGUUGGUGGUUUUGCAGGUGGCUUCUGUUCAUAUGGGUGAGUCAUGAUCAAGUAGAGCUGUGGGAGAAAACUCGUGGGGAGGUAGUUUUUGGGGUAACUCGAAUCCACAUAUAGCCUGUGAGUCCUACUAUGGCACUGCUUGAGGUGCCAUCUGAUAAUCCGCGCGCAAGCUGCGAGUGCCCUCUCCUAUUGCCUGAUUGGGUUUGGAGAACAAAGUUCUGCGGCCUGAGAAGGGUAGUACUGAGGGGGACACCGACAUGCGGAUUCGCGAUCUUGACAAAAUGGUUUUCAUUGACCCGUCUUGAAACACGGGACCAAGGAGUCUAACAUCUAUGCGAGUAUUUGGGUGUCAAAACCCUGGUGCGUAAUGAAAGUGAAGGCGUCGUAUGACGCUGAGGUAGGAACCUUUGAAAGAAGGGGCACUAUCGACCGAUCGUUCAUUUAUGAAAGAUUUGAGUAAGAGCAUAUCUGUUGGGACCCGAAAGAUGGUGAACUAUGCCUGACCAGGGUGAAGCCAGGGGAAACUCUGGUGGAGGCUCGUAGCGAUACUGACGUGCAAAUCGUUCGUCUGAGUUGGGUAUAGGGGCGAAAGACUAAUCGAACCAUUUAGUAGCUGGUUCCCUC
rnacentral:misc_RNA from 1 species